GGAGGUAGUGACAAUAAAUCACAAUGCGGAACUUCUGUUUUGCAAUUGGAUUGAGAACAACGCACAACACUUAUCGAUAAACAAUUGGAGGGCAAGUCUGGUGCCAGCAGCCGCGGUAAUUCCAGCUCCAAUAGCGUAUAUUAACGUUGUUGCAGUUAAAAAGCUCGUAGUUGAAGUGAAGUAAUGAAGUUGUGAUUUGAUUUAUCAUUUCGCUCCUUAAUUACUCUUUCCAAACUGUUUGCACGGGUAUUCAUUUACUUGUGUAUUGCAUUUGGUCGUUUACUGUGAGAAAAUUAGAGUGUUCAAAGCAUACGUUUGUUUGAAUACAUUAGCAUGGAAUAAUUCGAAAAGGCUUUCAUGUUCGAUUUGAUUGGUUUGUUCGUGAGAGCAAGAUUAAAAGGGACAGUUGGGGGUAUUCAUAUUCAAUAGUCAGAGGUGAAAUUCUCGGAUUUAUGGAAGAUGAACAAGUGCGAAAGCA
rnacentral:rRNA from 1 species